rnacentral:lncRNA from 1 species
CUGGCAUAGCAACCAUAGUAGAAGUGCUCACAUUGCGGCCCUGUCAGAUUCUAACGAAUCUGCGAAUUCUGCU